CGAAGCGUACGCCAGUCCAAGCCCCGAGCAGCCAGUUUCUUGAGGAGAAUGUUGUGGGGAACUGUGUCAAAAGCCUUACUGAGAUCAAGGUAAACCACAUCCACAGCCUUUCCCUCAUCCACCAAGCGCGUCACUUGGUCAUAGAAGGAGAUCAGGUUCGUCAAGCAGGACCUGCUUUUCAUAAACCCAUGCUGACUGGGCCUGAUCGCCUGCUUGCCCUGCAAGUGCCGCGUGAUGACCCUCAAGAUAAUCUGCUCCAUGAGCUUUCCUGGCACUUUCCUGGCACAGAUGCAACAUAGCGGUUGGAAUAUUUUUUCAGGUUUCAUUUUGUUCAGGCUUUAAGGGCUUUGAGUGCCUGUUUGGUGGUUAUGCUGUAUGAAAUGGGUUACAUAAACUAAGACCAGGGGAUGGUAGGGAAGGAGUUAAUCUUCUCCCUUUUGCUAGAGGAAGGGCCACAGCUGCCUGAACAGAGUGCAGGGAUUUUCAGGGUAGCCAGCCGUGGGAAUUUAAUUGAUUCACCCACCAGUCUGUAAAGAGGGGUACCACAGGGUAGCUCUAAAUCCUGUCGUGAUUCAGGGAGGAGGAGAUUUGAUUCAUAGGAAAAUGCAAGCGAUGUGUGCCACUGAUUUGGGUCAUCUGUACGCAAUUCAAAAGGAAAAGCACACUCUGGCAUGCCCCCUGGUGUGCCCUCUGCAAUGGGAGGCAGAACAGAGAGCUGGUCAGCCCUGGCCCAUGGUGCGCACCCCUCUGCAAGUUGCUCCUGUUGACACUGACAUGAGUUUUCUGUGUAGCUGA
rnacentral:lncRNA from 1 species